UCUCGUCUUGUCCCCUCUCCGUUCACUCGACGCGCGAUGAAGAGAAGCAGUGGGUGAGACUCCCAGCCUCCCUGCAGAGCAGUAAGACAUCUGCGGGCAUCUCCACACGGAUACAAACACCAUCAGACGUGAUGGACUCUGAUGAACCAGAUGUGAAGAAGAAGAAGAGGAGCGGAGCCUCUGAAGGGGGCGUGUCUACAUGUGACUCUGACAGCGUCCAGCAGGGGGCAUCAGACACACAGUCCAAGAGGACGGACGAGACAGAGAGGGACUCUGCUGCAGAACACAGGUGAGAUCAUGGAUGACAUUCUGUCAGGCAGUCACCAAAAUCCUCUUCAAACCACCUUUGAUUCUGUUUAUGUCAGUAACGUUCUAGAACCCUCUUUACGCUGUUAUAUGUAUUUUCCCUAGUGGCUCUUCUGAACUGAGCAUUGAUUGUUGCUUUAGUACUAGUUAUGAUGUGAUUUAUUUUGUUCCUGUGAAGGAACCCUACUGUGUUGUAACAAUGAGUAUAUGAGCUCUUCUGAACUGAGCAUUGAUUGUUCCUGUAGAAUUAGUUAUGAUGUGA